AAAGUACCUGGACCUCUAUGCCCAUGCUUCUAGCAGCCAGCCUCCUAAAAUACCUCUAGUUGAAGCCAAAGUUAGAAUCCUUCUACGAAACUACAGGAUUAAAAUGGAAUGGUUACAUGACCCAGGCUUGACCAAUCAGAUCAUCCAAACCCUUUGCCACAGUGAUUGGUCCAGGGAUACAUGCAUGAGCCAGCUCAGGUGGCAUUGUAUUAUGCGCCAAGAGUGAACCAGAUAGAGGAAGUUGCUCCUUAAGCUUGCAGGUCUGAAAGAACAAGGAAUUGCCUCUCUUCAAAGGCCUAAGCCACACUCAUCUUGUGGAUGACACUGGAGCUGUGACAGUCUGUUCUGUCCAGGCAGGGUGUCUUUUAUUUUUAUUGGAAAUAAGAUUAUCACAGUACGCAAGGCCCAAACAAUUGGUGAUAAUGAAGAAACUCUACUACCAGACGUUGCGGGAUGCCUCAAUGACCUAAUCCAGUAAAUCACAGCUCCAGCUGUCCAUGAGCUCUGUCUACCAUCUGAGGAAUUGUUUCUUUUUAAUACAAAGACUGGCACUCAUCAGAUAAUAAUUUCUGGGAUAGAAGCAAAGUAUUGGUAUUUCUUUAAGUCUCUUGAAGGUGAUUCUACUGAGCUGGGAUUAAGAACACACUGCCUUAAUCCUUUCAUCAUCAACAAAA
ensembl:lncRNA MAMDC2-AS1 MAMDC2 antisense RNA 1